rnacentral:rRNA from 1 species
CCUACGGGAGGCAGCAGUAAGGAAUAUUGGUCAAUGGACGCAAGUCUGAACCAGCCAUGCCGCGUGCAGGAUGACGGCCUUCUGGGUUGUAAACUGCUUUUAUACGGGAAGAAACCUCUGGUUGCGAUCAGAGCUGACGGUACCGUAAGAAUAAGGACCGGCUAACUUCGUGCCAGCAGCCGCGGUAAUACGAAGGGUCCAAGCGUUAUCCGGAUUUAUUGGGUUUAAAGGGUGCGUAGGCGGCUUAUUAAGUCAGUGGUGAAAGACUUCAGCUUAACUGAAGAACUGCCAUUGAUACUGAUGAGCUUGAAUAUACUUGAGGUGGGCGGAAUGUGUCAUGUAGCGGUGAAAUGCUUAGAUAUGACACAGAACACCGAUUGCGAAGGCAGCUCGCUAAAGUAUGAUUGACGCUGAUGCACGAAAGCGUGGGGAGCAAACAGGAUUAGAUACCCUGGUAGUCCACGCCCUAAACGUUGAUAACUCGAUGUGUGCGAUAUACAGUACGCGUCCAAGCGAAAGCAUUAAGUUAAUCCACCUUGGGAAGUACGGUUCGCAAGAUUGAAACCUUAAAAUUAGAGUUAGAGGCGNGAGAGNGCGACGGACGACGACGAGGGAGGUAGGAG